CGUCACAGACGCCCGAUUGCUGAUCGCCAUCGAUUGGCGACACCUCUCUGGCAAACACAUCCACAUCAGAGACCAGGCCACACACCGCGGGCAAGAUAACAGCCAGAUGUCUACACAUCCUUACUGGGCACUCUCAAUAGUCUUAGGGACUCACCAUAAAUCUUGGAAUUUUCAUAGUUAGGGUCUUUCAGACCGAACAAGCAUCUUUUAUUUCAAGUAUCCUUUACAUUUAUUGUUUACCACAGGAAGAUACGGGAAACUUGGUUUUUUUCACGUUCGGUAUCUUCCGUUAGCAACUUUCUCUCGAGAGCGGCUAGGACCCUUCCUAGUCUACCAAUCUUCAUAUAAUCCAAUCGAAAGCAAUGUCUAUCGCCCUCACUUUCCUAGCCAAAAUUGUCCUAACGAAUCAGCUCAUCUCGUGUCUUUAGACACACCCAUCACUAGCUUUCCUCCGCCACAAUAUCGUCACUAAACUUUACUUAUUCUCUAUCUUUAGAAUAGUCAACAUCUCUUUACCGAGUUUCUACCUGUAGCGGCACAUGAUUUAGAGGACAAAUCAAAUCAUGUUAUUGUUCUGUCCCGGAGCGUCAAGAUCGUUAGAAUACAAAUAACGUAAACUCCAGGCAAAACAAUGCCGCCGCUACAGGCAACCGUCGGGUCAGGACAAAUUCAAAUUUUUCCACUCUCCUCCGACCAGUAUAAAUAAACAGACACGUUCGCGGACGAUUAGAAUAUAGUACGGUAUCGAGCGAAUAUACACAGAAACUAUCAGCACUAACGGGUAUCUCCGCAAUACUUAUAUCUCGUUUUCAAGUUUACGUGACACCUCCUUCGAUCAGGAAGCACGGUUGGCACCACUGAAGCGCUCGGUCAAGGAGAGUUUCCAUUUGCGUCCGCGUUCUCGGUAGAUGAUGUACUUGCGUUUCCGGUAGCUGCUGCACUCGCAUUCUCGCUCUCCGCUUGCGUCACGUAGGACCCCAGCCAACGAUGAUUGAUUAGACUACUUAGAGCGAAUUGGACCUUGAUUACAUUAAGGUAUGCCCGACUCGGUGACGUACUAUUAAUUAAUCCCGAUAUUUAACCUCGCGUAGAACGAUCUCGCGAUUGAGUAAUGGUUACGAACUAAACUGGAACGAGUACUAAAUUUAAAAAAAGGCGUCGUCAAAAUUUGUAAGGACGUCACACAUCAACAAGUUAACCGAAACUUCUUACGCCUUAUUUUUGUGAUGUACAAUCCGCAUUUUUGACUUCAACGACUUCAAAAUCUCCACAAGUGACGGUAUAGCCGGAUAUUGUGAAGUCCAGAUAUUAUACUACAACCGAAUGAUACACAAAUAUCAUAUUUAUGGUCAUGAUUGACAUACGAGACAUUGAUUUGCCUUACAGUACAGAAAAGCGCAAAGUAAACUUUGACAUAAAACAGUUGACUAAAAAUAUUACUGGCUUCCGACAGACCAACAUCUUUAGUAGGUACUUAUUCAUUUGUAAGGACUGUGAGUACCAUUUUAUAUUGUAUACACUUCUCAAAACAUUUACACUACGUAAAUUCUAUAAGAUUUAUUAUACAUAAUAAAAUAUAAUAUUUUCUAUGUAAAUAAUUGCAUGUAAACACUUACUGCGUCUUGUAAAUAAUCUCUAUUUAUUUACUUAUUCGAUCAAUAAAUGUGACAUAUCUGUCAUUUCUACGCUAUACACUUCCGUAUUUUCAUUGUAUUGUCUUCCAAAUAUAAAGAAAGAAAGAACGAAAGAAAGGUAUGGAAUAUAUAAAGAUGAAUUUACAUGUGACAAUAGACGCUACUUUCCCUGUAUUUGACCUCAAAAUGUAAGCACAUUAAUAUAAAAAUAAUAAAGUGGAAAACUAA